GAUGAACGCUGGCGGCGUGCCUAAUACAUGCAAGUCGAGCGAUGCGGGGAAGGGUGAGUAACACGUGGUAAACCUACUUUAAGACUGGGAUAACUUUGGGAAACCGUAGCUAAAACGGCUAAUUAUAUAUGUAUCCGCGCUGCAUGCGCUAGUGGGUAGGUAACGGCUUACCAAGGCAACGAUGCAUAGCCGACGUGAGAGGGUGAGCGGCCACACUGGAACUGAGACACGUUCCAGACUCCUACGGGAGGCAGCAGUAGGGAAUCUGCCGCAAUAGGCGAAAGCCUGACGGAGCAACGCCGCGUGAGUGAUGUAGGUCUUCGGAUCGUAAAACUCUGUUAUUAGGGAAGCGGUACCUAAUCAGAAAGCCACGGCUAACUACGUGCCAGCAGCCGCGGUAAUUC
rnacentral:rRNA from 1 species